rnacentral:rRNA from 1 species
UACGUAGGGUGCAAGCGUUGUCCGGAAUUUAUUGGGCGUAAAGAGCUCGUAGGCGGUCUGUCACGUCGGCUGUGAAAACCCGAGGCUCAACCUCGGGCCUGCAGUCGAUACGGGCAAACUAGAGUACUGCAGGGGAGACUGGAAUUCCUGGUGUAGCGGUGAAAUGCGCAGAUAUCAGGAGGAACACCGGUGGCGAAGGCGGGUCUCUGGGCCGUAACUGACGCUGGAGGCGCGAAAAGCGUGGGGGAGCAAAACAGGG